UACGGAGGGGGAUAGCGUUGUUCGGAAUUACUGGGCGUAAAGCGCACGUAGGCGGCUUUGUAAGUUAGAGGUGAAAGCCCGGAGCUCAACUCCGGAAUUGCCUUUAAGACUGCAUCGCUCGAAUCAUGGAGAGGUGAGUGGAAUUCCGAGUGUAGAGGUGAAAUUCGUAGAUAUUCGGAAGAACACCAGUGGCGAAGGCGACUCACUGGACAUGUAUUGACGCUGAGGUGCGAAAGCGUGGGGAGCAAACAGG
rnacentral:rRNA from 1 species